rnacentral:rRNA from 1 species
UAGGGAAUUUUGCGCAAUGGGGGAAACCCUGACGCAGCAACGCCAUGUGUGGGAUGAAGCAUUUCGGUGUGUAAACCACUGUCAGCGGGGACUAAACGGCUUAAGAGGCCUUUGAAUGUACCCGCAGAGGAAGCCCCGGCUAACUUCGUGCCAGCAGCCGCGGUAAUACGAGGGGGGCUAGUGUUGUUCGGAAUCACUGGGCGUAAAGGGAGCGUAGGCGGGAGCUCAAGUUGGGUGUUUAAUUCCGGGGCCCAACCCCGGGCAUGCACUCAAAACUGGGUUUCUUGAAUAGGGGAGAGGUCGAUGGAAUUGGAGGUGUAGCGGUGGAAUGCGUAGAGAUCUCCAAGAACACCGGUUGCGAAGGCGGUCGACUGGACCCAUAUUGACGCUGAGGCUCGAAAGCGUGGGGAGCAAACAGG